UGUUCGGUUAGUGGCAGGCACUUCCUGCUGUCGGGUUUUUCGUCGAAGCUCCUCUCAUUAGUAGUUAAGUACAAAUACCGUGUGGGUGUUCGUGGUAUUUGGACAAAGCUAGUUAAUCAUAUUGUUUGUUUGCCAACCGCCAUAAAACUCCAAAAGAAGAAGAAGAAGAAGAAGAAGUGUGAAUCAUUUUUCCAAGCAAGUCAUUUUAUUCAGUUUCGAAGAGUCUUUACUGGAACAGCACACCCAACACGACGGCAUCAUGCAUGUGGGGGAGCAUUUUCGGAAUUUAUACAGAGAAAAAGAAGUUGUUAAUGGAGAAGGCAAACGGGAAAGUAUAUCAAAGACUAGAAUUAAGAGUCUGGCUGCUUUAAAUACAGAAAUAGGUAAUAGGUCGAUUUUGACACAUUAUGUUAAAAGCACUGGAUCAAUAAAUCGGAUAUAUGGAGUUAUGAAUUACAAAAAAGGGAUUUCAGCAGAUGUGAAGUAUAUAUUGAGUAGCAAAUGAACUGGAGGCUGUAACAGAAACUGGAUCUGCGGCGAUCACGCGAUGAAAGGUGUCUGAGAGUAACGCUGCACAUUUAAUGGAGGACUGUUUCCUGAUCCCAGAAGAGUAGAUUACAAUGCCGACUGUUCUCUGUCUGUGCCUGCUGUUUUUCCUGCCGUCUGGCCUGUCUGGUGAACACUUCAGUUAUUCAUCUUUGACGGGACCGCUGGGCGGCAGUAUCACUCUGCCGUGUAAUUACAGCGACGCAGAGGAUUUAUCCACUGUUCUGACAUGUGGGAUCCAAACUGCUUAUGGUACUGGUCAGAGUAAAUACUACGAGCGCCGCGUGCUCAAGACUGGCACCUGUGACCUCACUCUGCACGACUUGAAGACCACCGAUGCUGGCAGAUGCCAUUUAAAAGGUUAUGUCAACGAUCAACUACUAAGAAGCUACAUUUUUGACAUCUCUAUUGAUGUUCCUUUAACAGCACGUAUAGGUGAAGAGGUGAUGUUUGAUGAUCUGCCGCGUGAUGCUGAGAGCGUCAAGCAUUUAUCAAACACCAGCUCGAUAGAUGUGUGGAGGAGAGAGCAGGGUGUCCUGACUGAUCGACUGAUGGACAAGGAUGGUCACCUGAUCAUUAAAAACUUCAGAUCAAGAGACGCUGGAACAUACAGAGUCCUGAACUCAACAGGAGGAGUCCUGGUCACUGUGAUGCUCACAGAGUGGAGUACAGCAUCAAAGGACAAACAGGACAGCACACGUGAUGAUAACACUAAAGUCACGGCACGAGAUCAUGUUUGUACUUGGAUUGUGAUUGGUCUUGUGGGGGCUCUGAUUGCAUUAAUUGUCAUAACACAUCAAUAUCUGAAAAGGACUAAGGAACGUGAUUCCUCUCUAGAGUCUGAAACUGUACAGGAGCCCAGAUCACCCAAUGAUCACCUUACUUUAGCAAUGAGUUCACCUUCAGUGCCAACAGAUCUGCAGAGCUGCAUAUCCUGCAGUAUUCACACUGGAAGCGUUUCUACAGCAUCACCACAGCAGCAUAUGCUGACCCAUACUCAGAAUUCGUGCUCUGCAUUUAACCCAUGCAAAGUGCACACACACACUGUGAACACACACACACUGUGA
ensembl:lncRNA